UUUGAGUGUAACAAGCUGAAGUAAAUAAUUUUUCUUUCUGCACUUCUUUGUUUUUCGUCUCAUAUGUGUCGACAAUCUGGUUUUUUGUUGUUGAAAUACCAUAUAUAGAACAUAAUAAUAAUAAUCAAGGUUUACGGUUUACUUCAGGUUCCAACGAUGGCUUUCUUUGGUUGAAUUGGGAAUUUACUCAGAAAUGCUGCAAACAAGCAGAUCAGUUCAGAAUUGCUCCCAUCCCCAUCUAUUCUCCAGGAAAUACGGUGCAUGUCAUCUGCUCCAAACUCAAAACUGUUCAUUGGAGGUAUUUCAUAUUCUACUGAUGAGUAAGGUUUGAGGGAGGCAUUUCAAGAUAUGGAGAAGUUGUUGAUGGUACAUACAAUUACUCAUUUUUUCCUAUGCAGACUCGAUCCAUGGCAGGGAAACCCUUUUGUUUGAGGAGACUCAGAAAAAGCAGCAUUGUUCUUAUUCUGAAGAGUUUGCAACCCCCGAGAGAGCUUGAAUGAACAAGACUCGGAAUUUAGGAAGAAAUGCUGAUUCUGGUUCAAACUUGAGGCCUCAGAAUUUAUAGGAAGCAGCAUUGUUCCAAAAAUAUGAUGAAGAGAUGUCCCUCUUAGACAGAAUUAGUGCACAGAAACUUGAGGAAACAGAGUAUUUAAGAUCCAUGGAAGCCUCUCCAAGAUCAAUUUCAGAGCGUAUUUGCAUCAAGUGUGAAGAAGAAAGCAUGUGAUAUAGGUCACAAUAACCCAUAUGGUGAACUAGAGGCCGCUUACGUUGCUGGAAUUAUUGGGUGAUUGUGUUGUGGAUGUUGGAGCUAUGUUGCAAUAGCUACUAUUAUUAUUCUCCAUCUGGUUGAAGCUACUGCAGGUUCCAUCACUGACUACUGGAGAGGAUGCUACUAAUGUUGGCAACAAUUGAUGAAGAGUGAGGGUCUCUUGGCCGGAAUUAGUCUAUCACAUUAUAAUAAAGCUUCCAGUUUAGUGUUUCAAUAAACACUCUCACAUUCUUUUGUUAUUAUAUUUUUUGCAAACUUAGAUGAUAUUGUGGAUCUUAUAACAAUUUUUAUAAAUUUGAUGGGAAAUGUUCAAUUUUUU